rnacentral:lncRNA from 1 species
AGCUUAAGCUUUAUACAUUAUAAAAUGAUCAAACCUUAUUCUAUAUAUCGACACAUCAAAAGAGGAAAAACAUGACUAGAAUUCUCAAGUUUAUGUACGUUGUGUCUAUAUAUUUGUUCCUAUUUUUUGUUGCAACGACCAUUGAUGGUAAGUUCUUUUUCUUUCAAAUUUUAUUAUUUUACUUCUUUGUUUUGUACAAAAUCUUUUGUCUCAUUUUAGCAAAUACUAAUUUAUCUUUUUUCAUUAUAGCCCUUCCCGAAUGUUAUAAGGAUUCUGAUUGUAAAAAAUGUACAAUGCACAAAGUAACGUGUGUUCGUGGUGUGUGUAAAUGUAUCGUGACAGUGCCACGUAAUAUUUGAGUAACAAAUCAAAGAGAUCACACAUAUGUCUUGAAUGAGUGAAUAAGUAAUGUAUCUAAAGAAGGAUCUAUGUAAUAUUGUAUUCUAAGACAAUAAAUAUCUAUUGACCAUUAUUAACAUUGUCAACUUUUAUUUUUUAAUUUUGGAAAUAUCUCUUGAUCUUUAUUUUAUGCAAGCUACAAUUUCUUUCCAAU